GAUUUGCGGAGCAGCUAGUUCAUGCACAUCCGUCUGAUUUGCUGCAACUGCUGGCAUUCUGUAAGUAACAGAGAGAAAUGACUUUAGUUAUGUCGCAGGCUUUCGGAAUGGUUUUUAAACAGCGUGAUGACGGUACUCUGUCCCCUUGAACGAUGCUGAAACUCUGACCGAUUCCAUGGUCCUAGUAGCAGACAGCCUCGGAUCCCAGGGGAUCAUGGGUUUGCGCCUCUGGUGGGCUGUGUCCUCUCCAGGGCGCAAAGGUGGGCGGAAAGAUUUGAAGAACCGGCUGUUGUCCAUGCAGCUGGUUCCCCCUCUCCUCGUCACUGAUGCAGUCCAAGGGGAGGGCAAGCGCGAAGCAGCUUGGAACCAAUGUCGUCGCAGGGAUUGCCAGAGUGAAGCUGUAAGCAAUGUCAAAAUGCCUUAGCCCUACCCUAAAUGAGUAGUUUAACGCGAAUAUCAUUAAUCCUCGUGUGCCGCAGCAGCUGUUAGGAACUGCAAGUCGGAACAUUGCUCGGUUAAUUGAUCUCGUUAAUACCCAGUCGUAAUGAAGUUUCAAAAUAACAAAAAGGAAAAGGGCCGGAAGCAAACGUUUGGGCACCCCGCAUGGUCAGUUCGCAGAGCCUCGUCCGGACUCCCAGCCCGUCCCAAGGUCCUUGUCCGGACUCCCAGCAUGUUCGCAGAGCCUCGUCCGGAGUUCCAGCUCGUUCCAAGAGUCUCGUCCGAACUCCCAGCCCGUUCCAAUAGUCUCGUCCGGAGUCCCAGCCCGUUCCAAGAGUUUCGUCCAGACUCCAAGCCCAUUCCAAGAGUCUCGUCUGGAGUCCCAGCCCGUUCCAAGUGUCUCGUCUGAAGUUCCAGCCCAUUCCAAGAGUUUCGUCCAGACUCCAAGCCCAUUCCAAGAGUCUCGUCUGGAGUCCCAGCCCGUUCCAAGUGUCUCGUCUGGAGUUCCAGCCCAUUCCAAAAGUGUUGUCCAGACUCCAAGCCUGUUCCGAGAGACUCGUCUGGAGUCCCAGCCGGUUCCAAGUGUCUCGUCUGGAGUCCCAGCCCAUUCCAAAGGCUUCGUCCAGGGUCCCAACCCGUCCCAAGAGCCACGUCUGGACUCCCAGCCCGUUCCAAGGGCCUCGGCCAGAGUCCCAGCCCGUUCCAAGGGCCUCGGCCAGAGUCCCAGCCCAUUCGCAGAGCCUUGUCCGGACUCCCAGCCCGUCCCAAGGGCCUCGUCUGGAGUCCCAGCAUGUUUGCAGAGCCUCGUCCGGAGUUCCAGCCCGUUCACGAGUCUUGUCCAGACUCCCAGCCCAUUCCAAUAGUCUCGUCCGGAGUCCCAGCCCAUCCCAAGGGCCUCGUCCGGAGUCCCAGCAUGUUCGCAGAGCCUCGUCCAGAGUUCCAGCCCAUUCCAAGAGUCUUAUCCGGACUCCCAGCCCAUUCCAAUAGUCUCGUCCGGAGUCCCAGCCCUUUCCAAGAUUUUCGCCCAGACUCUAAACCUAUUCCAAGAGUCUCGUCUGGAGUCCCAGCCCAUUCCAAGUGUCUCGUCUGGAGUCCCAGCCCGUUCCAAGAACCUCAUCCGGAGUCCCAGUCCGUUCCAAGUGUCUCAUCUAGAGUCCCAGCCCAUUCCAAGUGUCUCAUCUGGAGUCCCAGCCCAUUCCAAGUGUCUCAUUUGGAGUCCCAGCCCAUUCCAAGUGGCUCAUCCGGAGUCCCAGUACGUUCUAAGAGCCUCGUUCAGAGUCCCAGCCCAUUCCAAGAGCUUUGUCCAGGGUCCCAGCCCAUUCCAAGAGCUUCAUCCAGGGUCCCAGCCCAUUCCAGGAGUCUCAUCCGGAGUCCCAGCCCAUUCCAAGAGCCUCGUCCAGGCCCUGUGUCCCUAUCCAGCUUCGGUUCUUCCCGACUUCCCUUGCAUUCUUGAUAAACUUUACCCAGCUUCUAGUACUUCAGUGUCUGCGUCUUGCAUUUGGGUCCACUCCCAACACCCCCUUACAAUAGUGUAGGAUCAUUAUCCUGUUGCAGAAACCAUCCUCUUUUCAUCUUCAGCUUUUUUACAGACGGUGUGAUGUUUGCUUCCAGAAUUUGCUGGUACUUAAUUGAAUUCAUUCUUCCCUCUACCAGUGAAAUGUUCCCCGUGCCACUGGCUACAACACAAGCCUAAAGCAUGAUCGAUCCACCCCCAUGCUUAACAGUUGGAGAGGUGUUCUUUUCAUAAAAUUCUGCGCUCUUUUUUUUUCUCCAAACAUACCUUCGCUCAUUGUGGCCAAAAAUUUCUACUUUAACUUUAUCACUCCACCGGACUUGUUCCCAAAAUGCGUCAGGUGUGUUUAGAUGUGGACUGAAGGUUUUGCAAUGGCCCUCACAUUCCCCCAACCUAAACAUCAUCGAAGAUCUGUGGAUAGACCUCAAAAGAGCAGUGCAUGCAAGAUGGCCCAAGAAUUUCACAGAACUCAAAGCCUUUUGCAAGGAAGAAUGGGUGAAAAUCCCCCAAACAAGAGUUGAAAGACUCUUAGCUGGCUACAAAAAGCAUUUACAAACUGUGAUACUUGCCAAAGGGGGUGUUACUAAGU